AUGCACGCUGGCGGCGUGCCUAAUACAUGCAAGUCGAGCGAACAGACGAGGAGCUUGCUCCUCUGACGUUCGCGGCGGACGGGUGAGUAACACGUGGAUAACCUACCUAUAAGACUGGGAUAACUUCGGGAAACCGGAGCUAAUACCGGAUAAUAUAUUGAACCGCAUGGUUCAAUAGUGAAAGACGGUUUUGCUGUCACUUAUAGAUGGAUCCGCGCCGCAUUAGCUAGUUGGUAAGGUAACGGCUUACCAAGGCGACGAUGCGUAGCCGACCUGAGAGGGUGAUCGGCCACACUGGAACUGAGACACGGUCCAGACUCCUACGGGAGGCAGCAGUAGGGAAUCUUCCGCAAUGGGCGAAAGCCUGACGGAGCAACGCCGCGUGAGUGAUGAAGGUCUUCGGAUCGUAAAACUCUGUUAUUAGGGAAGAACAAAUGUGUAAGUAACUAUGCACGUCUUGACGGUACCUAAUCAGAAAGCCACGGCUAACUACGUG
rnacentral:rRNA from 1 species